AUUGAACGCUGGCGGCAGGCCUAACACAUGCAAGUCGAGCGGAUGAAGGGAGCUUGCUCCUGGAUUCAGCGGCGGACGGGUGAGUAAUGCCUAGGAAUCUGCCUGGUAGUGGGGGAUAACGUCCGGAAACGGGCGCUAAUACCGCAUACGUCCUGAGGGAGAAAGUGGGGGAUCUUCGGACCUCACGCUAUCAGAUGAGCCUAGGUCGGAUUAGCUAGUUGGUGGGGUAAAGGCCUACCAAGGCGACGAUCCGUAACUGGUCUGAGAGGAUGAUCAGUCACACUGGAACUGAGACACGGUCCAGACUCCUACGGGAGGCAGCAGUGGGGAGUAUUGGACAAUGGGCGAAAGCCUGAUCCAGCCAUGCCGCGUGUGUGAAGAAGGUCUUCGGAUUGUAAAGCACUUUAAGUUGGGAGGAAGGGCAGUAAGUUAAUACCUUGCUGUUUUGACGUUACUAACAGAAUAAGCACCGGCUAACUUCGUG
rnacentral:rRNA from 1 species